rnacentral:lncRNA from 1 species
GGCAUGGGAAGACAUCUGCUCUGACUGAUAAUCGGAUUUGUUUUUCCUGCACAUUCUUCUUUCUGAAUAAUGGAGAGUUGACAGCUCGAGAAGAACCUGACUAACAGCAGUGUGACGGGCUAAAGAGAAUAAAGCUCUCUCUACAGAGCCAGUGCCCGUUCUUGCCUCACUCACAGGGCUUCUUAUCAUCGAUUUCAAACACAUCGUACCUACUGCGGGAUC